rnacentral:rRNA from 1 species
AGAACGAACGCUGGCGGCAUGCCUAACACAUGCAAGUCGAACGUGAUCCAGGCUUCGGCCUGGUGAAAGUGGCAGACGGGUGAGUAACGCGUGGGAACCUGCCCUGUGGUAGGGAAUAACCGUGGGAAACUGCGGCUAAUACCCUAUGAGUCCUUCGGGAGAAAGAUUUAUCGCCAUAGGAGGGGCCCGCGUCGGAUUAGGUAGUUGGUGGGGUAACGGCCUACCAAGCCUUCGAUCCGUAGCUGGUCUGAGAGGAUGAUCAGCCACACUGGGACUGAGAUACGGCCCAGACUCCUACGGGAGGCAGCAGUGGGGAAUAUUGGACAAUGGGGGCAACCCUGAUCCAGCAAUGCCGCGUGGAUGAUGAAGGCCUUCGGGUUGUAAAGUCCUUUCGGCGGGGAAGAUGAUGACGGUACCGCAGAAGAAGCCCGCUACUUCGUGCCAGCAGCCGC